UCCCUAUCUUGGCCCGGAGACACAAUAAUCCUCUUAUUCGGGGGUCUUGCAAGAUUCUUCACUGCACAAGUUGAAGAAGAAGGAAUGAGCGGGGUCGAACAAGUUCUUAUACAGAGAAACUUAUUGUGCACAGUUUCUAAACAUGAAAUCGGUUCUGAUUUAAUGAAUGCAGAAAGAAGAUGAAAUAUUCCCCUUGGAAAGCUUGCAACCCAACGGUAAGAACAUUGAAUAUAUGAACGUUGAAUGUUCCACUUCUAAUUAGUACCUCUUCCUCUUUAUUUCCUUGCCUCCCCUUCACCAUCAAGAUCCACACACAUUUCUUCCAGUAUCUCCCACACUCUGUCACCCUACUCCAUUCCCCUUUCUUUGUACACUCAUCUCCCAUCUACAUCCCCCUUUUCUUUCUUACCUCUCUAUUUCUUUACAUUUCACUCCUCCUCUUCCCUCCUUAUCCAACAUCUUUUUGCCUCCUUUACACCUCUAGUGUUUGUCACCUCCUCCACUCCUUUGCCAAUCAAACCCCCUCACCUGUAUCCACAAACUGAAUGGGAAUGUUUCCAAUUCCGCAGCCCUCACACAGUGCAGUAUAUUCUUGUUGCCAUGUCAAAUGGUUUAAAGUUACUCACACGUGGACCUUCCGAUACAUCUUCCUGCCUCUCCUUACCAAAAUAAAAACACGCUUAUUUUUGGCUGCAAAGUGGGUCAGCUGGUAGAGCUGCUGACUCACAGCACCAGAGACCUGGGUUUGAUCCUGACCUCGGGCGCUGUCUGUGCGGAGUUUGCACCUUCUCCCUGUGACCGCAUGAAUUUCCUCCGGGUGCUCCGACUUCCUCCCACAUCCCAAAGACGUGCAGGUUUGCAGGUUAAUUGUUCUCUGUCAAUUGUCCCUGGUGUGUAUAGGAGUGGAAAGGAAAGUGGGGUGACAUUGAACUAGUGCGAACAGGUGAUCGAUGGUUGCUGCGGACUUGGUGUGCCCAAGGGCCUGUUUCCAUGCUGUACCUUUCAAUUCUAUCAACUCUGACAGUCAAUACAGGUUGCAAUACUCCUGCAACUUUUAUCGUGCAAAAGUCUAAAAUGCAGUGGAACUCAGACAAGAUCAGAAAUACUUCUGCUUUACUAAAGUGUCUCCUUGGCGACUCGUCUAAAUGUGAGACAACGGUUCAAGGCCUUGAACAGAGGCUUGGAUAUGAAAUUCAGGCUGAUAUUCCAGACCAGGAGAGUUAUAUUUGGUGUUUAAGAAGGAACUGCAGAUGCUGGAAAAUCGAAGGUACACAAAAAAGCUGGAGAAACUCAGCGGGUGCAG